AGGCAGAAAGUACAGGCAAGUCUCAGAUGGCCGUAGAGAAGAUGGUGGAAGGACGUCUCCGUAAAUAUUAUGAAGAAGUUGCUCUGAUGGAGCAAAAGUUCAUUGUGAACGAUUCUAUAAACAUCUGCAUCCUUGCUAUUAUUAGUUGUUGAAUGUAAAAGCCAUGAAUUUUUCAAAAUGUACAUGAUAUUAUUACACAGACACUGGUGGAUAAUUUGUCCAAGGAGGUGGGUUCUACUGUGAAGGUUGCCAAUUUUCUGAGAGUUGAGGUUGGGGAAGGAAUCGAUAGGUAAAUAUAACAGUGGCUCCUUAUAUAUGUUUACAUUAGCG
rnacentral:lncRNA from 1 species